rnacentral:lncRNA from 1 species
GGGAGUGGGAAGAACAUCCAAUUUUAAGAAGAUUUAUGGAUUUGAAGACUCAUAUGUUAGCACCUUCUAGCCGAAUAUACCAAUGACAUCGUUGGAGAUCUCUUUCUUGGCAAGUCAGAGAGGUCCAUUGUCUUGGCAUGAGAAAAAUUAGCUGGAGGGCAUCCUCGAUCUCUUUAGACCAUCUCAUCUUGCUGAUGUGUCGGCAUG